GCAUCGAUAGCUUAGUGGCAGAGCGUUGGGGCUGCUGGGGAGCUGACCUAUGCGGCCCGGGUGCGAGCCCCGGUCGAUGCA